GUCUGUUAGGUUUUGUUCUUCAAGUUUAAGAAAUAUUUUUCUGUUAAUAUCUUCAUUUCUGUUCUGUUUUUAUUUUUUUCAUAUACAUAUUAGGUCGUGCUGAUUUGUUUUUUCACGUUGCGUGAAAAUUUAUCUCAAAGGGAAAAUUCUGACCCAUCAGAGAGGGAACCUCUCACUCUUGACAAAUGAAAUGUGGUCAAGCUUUGCAUUAAUAUGAAGAAUUAGUCAAUAUUAUAAAAUAGUUUGUUAGUAAGUUAACGUUUGCAAUAGAAUAAGAGAGAUAGUAAAUUUUUAGCACGGUAAAGAAAUAGAGAAAGAAGUUUUUCGUCUUGUCACGAGCGUAAGACAAAGAAAAGAUUCUGAGUCCAUGAGGAGUCGAACCUCAGACCUUCGGAUGCCGGAGCAUCGGAGCGCGGAAUCCAAAGGUCUGAUAUUCGAUUCCUCGUGGGGACUCAAACUUCCUCAUAGGGGGACUAAAAAAUUUCCUCAUAGGGACUCAAAAACCAUCUUUCUCUAAUUUAAUGUUAUCGUUCAUAUAAUAAACCAAAAGCUGUGAACAA